GCACCCAUAGCUCAGCUGGAUAGAGCGCUGCCCUCCGGAGGCAGAGGUCAGAGGUUCGAAUCCUCUUGGGUGCGCCA
rnacentral:tRNA from 1 species